rnacentral:rRNA from 9 species
GACGAACGCUGGCGGCGUGCUUAACACAUGCAAGUCGAGCGGGGAGCUUCGGCUUCUAGCGGCGAACGGGUGAGUAACACGUGGGCAACCUGCCCCGAUCUCUGGAAUAACCUCGGGAAACCGGGGCUAAUGCCGGAUAUGACAUUGCCGGGCAUCUGGUGGUGUGGAAAGAUUUAUCGGAUCGGGAUGGGCCCGCGGCCUAUCAGCUUGUUGGUGGGGUGAUGGCCUACCAAGGCGACGACGGGUAGCCGGCCUGAGAGGGCGACCGGCCACACUGGGACUGAGACACGGCCCAGACUCCUACGGGAGGCAGCAGUGGGGAAUAUUGCGCAAUGGGCGGAAGCCUGACGCAGCGACGCCGCGUGAGGGAUGACGGCC